rnacentral:rRNA from 1 species
AGCUCCAAUAGCGUAUAUUAAAGUUGUUGCAGUUAAAAAGCUCGUAGUUGGAUUUCGGAAUGGGCCAGUUGGUCCGCCGUACCACGGUGUGUUACUGGCUGGUCUGUUCUUCUUCGCAAAGACUGCGUGUGCUCUUCACCGAGUGUGCGUAGGAUUUACGACGUUUACUUUGAAAAAAUUAGAGUGUUCAAAGCAGGCCUACCGCUUGAAUACAUGAGCAUGGAAUAAUGGAAUAGGACUUUGGUCUUAUUUUGUUGGUUUCUAAGACCGAAGUAAUGAUUAAGAGGGACAGUUGGGGGCAUUCGUAUUUCGUUGUCAGAGGUGAAAUUCUUGGAUUUACGAAAGACGAACAACUGCGAAAGCAUUUGCCAAGAAUGUUUUCA